rnacentral:misc_RNA from 1 species
GAAAUGCGAUAAGUAAUGUGAAUUGCAGAAUUCAGUGAAUCAUCGAAUCUUUGAACGCACAUUGCGCCCGCCAGUAUUCUGGCGAGCAUGCCUGUCCGAGCGUCAUUUCAACCAUCAAGCCCCCGGGCUUGUGUUGGGGACCUGCGGCUGCCCGCAGGCCCUGAAAACCAGUGGCGGGCUCGCUGUCACACCGAGCGUAGUAGCAAUCACCUCGCUCAGGGCGUGCUGCGGGUUCCGGCCGUUAAACAGCCUUACAAAACCCAAGGUUGACCUCGGAUCAGGUAGGAAGACCCGCUGAACUUAAGC